CCUACGGGUGGCAGCAGUGAGGAAUAUUGGUCAAUGGACGCAAGUCUGAACCAGCCAUGCCGCGUGCAGGAAGACGGCUCUAUGAGUUGUAAACUGCUUUUGUACGAGGGUAAACGCAGAUACGCGUAUCUGUCUGAAAGUAUCGUACGAAUAAGGAUCGGCUAACUCCGUGCCAGCAGCCGCGGUAAUACGGAGGAUUCAAGCGUUAUCCGGAUUUAUUGGGUUUAAAGGGUGCGUAGGCGGUCUGCUAAGUUAGAGGUGAAAUCCCGAGGCUCAACUUCGGAAUUGCAUCUGAUACUGUGCGGCUAGAGAGUAGUUGCGGUAGGCGGAAUGUAUGGUGUAGCGGUGAAAUGCUUAGAGAUCAUACAGAACACCGAUUGCGAAGGCAGCUUACCAAGCUACUACUGACGUUGAGGCACGAAAGCGUGGGGAGCAAACAGGAUUAGAUACCCGAGUAGUC
rnacentral:rRNA from 1 species